AUGGGAUCAAACCCGGGAUUUGUCUGGCUCCGAAACCCCUAUGCCUUCCACAACAAUACAGCGCGGAAGACGAAGGGAUUCUGGGCCUCAGCUCACAGUUCUGGGCUUCUCUCUGGACAUCCACUGUGGAAGACAGCAUCUAACGAGUUCGGUGCAGCAGGCCAGGAAGAUGCAGAAAACGUCAUCCAGCGAGUGGUACUUCCAGAUGGCCAGGUGACAACGGAGCCCUACCAAACAAGUCCCAGGAAAAUGUACAAACUCCACAUGAAGUUUUAUAGGCUUCUGAGGAAGUGCAUUCAGUAUAAUGGAGGCCAAGGAACCUACCAACUCAAUAUGCUAUUUCAACACAUUCAGUCAGCCAGUGGACUUAACCUCAAGUUCAUUUCUGCACGGAUCAUUUACAGUGUUAAUCUGCGAGUUUGUAUGACUCCUACCAGGAAGAUACAAAAAAAGUUCCUAUUUUGCAGUUUGGAUCUCUUCUCCCAUAAAACUUCCUCAGUGGUGAAUAACUCAAGUUGUUGGGGCAGCAUAAUAGAGGGCCUGGCAGAGAAGUGGUGAGAACAAAGCCUGUUUGGGAUUGGACAGGUUGACCUCUCACCCAGACAGGCUCCCAGAAAUCUUAUAUGGCCUUCCCUGCCCUGGAUACAGCCAGCCACAAACACUUCAGGCACACGGAUAGAAGAAGGCAGCCUAUGGAAUCAUGUCAUAAGGAAAGGAUUGCCAUUUCUCAUGGACUCUGGCUCCCUGGAGCUGAAGAGAUUGAGGAUGAGGAUGGAGACACCCGUGAUCUUGAGUUCAAAAUUAGGUCUCAUUUGAUGCUACUUGAUCUCCCUAGAGGUCUCAGCAGCCUUGGGGGCAAAAUUGAAAUCUAUGGAGAUUGCUAGAAGAUCUUCUCCCCAGAACUAAAUGAGAAUCUAAAUUUAUAGUAAUUCUUUAAGAGGAAAAAUAAACCCAAGGGACUUUAUUUAUUUAUUUUUUGG
rnacentral:lncRNA from 12 species